AGUAACACGUGGGCAAUCUGCCCUGCACUCUGGGACAAGCCCUGGAAACGGGGUCUAAUACCGGAUACUGAGCCACUUGGGCAUCCAAGUGGUUCGAAAGCUCCGGCGGUGCAGGAUGAGCCCGCGGCCUAUCAGCUUGUUGGUGAGGUAAUGGCUCACCAAGGCGACGACGGGUAGCCGGCCUGAGAGGGCGACCGGCCACACUGGGACUGAGACACGGCCCAGACUCCUACGGGAGGCAGCAGUGGGGAAUAUUGCACAAUGGGCGAAAGCCUGAUGCAGCGACGCCGCGUGAGGGAUGACGGCCUUCGGGUUGUAAACCUCUUUCAGCAGGGAAGAAGCGAAAGUGACGGUACCUGCAGAAGAAGCGCCGGCUAACUACGUGCCAGCAGCCGCGGUAAUACGUAGGGCGCAAGCGUUGUCCGGAAUUAUUGGGCGUAAAGAGCUCGUAGGCGGCUUGUCACGUCGGUUGUGAAAGCCCGGGGCUUAACCCCGGGUCUGCAGUCGAUACGGGCAGGCUAGAGUUCGGUAGGGGAGAUCGGAAUUCCUGGUGUAGCGGUGAAAUGCGCAGAUAUCAGGAGGAACACCGGUGGCGAAGGCGGAUCUCUGGGCCGAUACUGACGCUGAGGAGCGAAAGCGU
rnacentral:rRNA from 1 species